rnacentral:rRNA from 1 species
AACGAACGCUGGCGGCAUGCCUAACACAUGCAAGUCGAACGAAGGCUUCGGCCUUAGUGGCGCACGGGUGCGUAACGCGUGGGAAUCUGCCCUUUGGUUCGGAAUAACAGCUGGAAACGGCUGCUAAUACCGGAUGAUGACGAAAGUCCAAAGAUUUAUCGCCAGAGGAUGAGCCCGCGUUGGAUUAGGUAGUUGGUGGGGUAAAGGCCUACCAAGCCGACGAUCCAUAGCUGGUCUGAGAGGAUGAUUAGCCACACUGGGACUGAGACACGGCCCAGACUCCUACGGGAGGCAGCAGUGGGGAAUAUUGGACAAUGGGCGCAAGCCUGAUCCAGCAAUGCCGCGUGAGUGAUGAAGGCCCUAGGGUUGUAAAGCUCUUUUACCCGGGAAGAUAAUGACUGUACCGGGAGAAUAAGCCCCGGCUAACUCCGUG